rnacentral:rRNA from 1 species
UACGGGGGGGGCAAGCGUUGUUCGGAAUUACUGGGCGUAAAGGGCUCGUAGGCGGCCAACUAAGUCAGACGUGAAAUCCCUCGGCUUAACCGGGGAACUGCGUCUGAUACUGGAUGGCUUGAGUUCGGGAGAGGGAUGCGGAAUUCCAGGUGUAGCGGUGAAAUGCGUAGAUAUCGUAAGGAAGACCAGUGGCGAAAGCGAGUCUCUGGCUAAAUGCUGACGCUGAGGCACGAAAGCUGGGGGAGCAAACGGG